rnacentral:rRNA from 1 species
CAUCAACGCUGGCGGCGUGCCUCAGACAUGCAAGUCGAACGAUUAAGACUUCCUUCGGGAAGUGUAUAAAGUGGCGCACGGGUGAGUAACACGUAGGUAAUGUGCCUUUGGGUGGGGAAUAACUUAGGGAAACUUAAGCUAAUACCGCAUAAUGCAGCGGCCCGACAUCGAGACAGUUGUUAAAGGAGUAAUCCGCCUAAAGAGCAGCCUGCGGCAGAUUAGCUAGUUGGUAAGGUAAUGGCUUACCAAGGCUACGAUCUGUAACCGACCUGAGAGGGUGGUCGGUCACACUGACACUGAAUAACGGGUCAGACUCCUACGGGAGGCAGCAGUCGGGAAUUUUGGGCAAUGGGCGAAAGCCUGACCCAGCAACGCCGCGUGAAGGAUGAAGUAUUUCGGUAUGUAAACUUCGUAAGAAUAGGAAGAAUAAAUGACGGUACUAUUUGUAAGGUCCGGCUAACUACGUGCCAGCAGCCGCCGUAAAAC